GACGAACGCUGGCGGCGUGCCUAAUACAUGCAAGUCGACCUUAGUGGCGGACGGGGGAGUAAUGACUAGGAAUCUGCCUGGUAGUGGGGGAUAACGUCCGGAAACGGGCGCUAAUACAGCAUACUAUCAGAUGAGCCUAGGUCGGAUUAGCUUGUAGGGGGGGUAAAGGCCUACCAAGGCGACGAUCCGGAACUGGUCUGAGAGGAGUAUCAGUCACACUGGAACUGAGACACGGUCCAGACGCCGACGGGAGGCAGCAGUGGGGAAUAGUGGACAAUGGGCGAAAGCCUGAUCCAGCCAUGCCGCGUGUGUGAAGAAGGGCUUCGGAUUGUAAAGCACUUUAAGUUGGGAGGCGUUACCAACAGAAUAAGCACCGGCUAACUUCGUGCCAGCAGCCGCGGUAAUUC
rnacentral:rRNA from 1 species